UUCCUGUGUACAUACUGGGAGAAUCCUUUCAUAAUAAACUAGACACUCUGCAAUAAUAGUGUAUGUAUUCCAUAAUCUUUGAGUUUCUCAUCAAAAAAUAAUUUACUAAAGAGUUCAUAAAAGUAAAAAUACAGGGAUUAGACUAAAACUAUCACCUUAACAUUGCGGAUGUAUCCAUCUUCCCACUUUCCGACCCAGUUAAUUCCUUUAACCACUCAAGUCUGACUCUGGAGAGAGAAACUUUAACUCAUAUUGAGUUUCAGUGCAACCAGUCUUCAUUUAUUAGUUGACUUUAAAAAACUGUCGACUACUCACCUUCUGCAUUGAGAACGUUUUUACCUUCUCACAGUUGCGGGAGUUACUGAAAGGGAGGUUUCUCGCUCUAGGUUUUACUGAGAAUUUCUGACCCUCGUUGAUGCGGCUCCCGGUCCCGGAACACCUGCGGGAGUUUUCAGAAAGCUCUGCACGCGGCGCGGUCACUACAGUUCACUGUACUGAGGCAGCGAAACGAGGAGGACUGGCCUGCCACUGACCGGGCUGAAUCCAAAGGUCACUAGGGAAACAGAAACAAAACGAUCCGCCUGACACAUGACCCGGAAGAGGAAAAACGCACUGACUUCAGGAAAACGAAAGGCAUGCAGCGCGCGCACAGGCACCUCUGCUCCGCGGGCUCGGCUCCGCGCUGGGCCAGGAGCAGCACGCUGUCCUGUUUCUCGUGCACGACCGGAACCUGGGGUGGGGAGAUGGGCUCGUAGGGCUCGCUAGAGACGUGACUCCUCUCUGGGGACUUUCCAGGCCUGAUACUGGAACAUACAAAACAUUAGACAGUCUUCCCAGGGCUCACCUGCGGCUUACCCUGAACAGGAACUGGUUACCUCAUUACUUCAGUCAUUUCAAGGACCAAAAGUUGGCAAUACGUAUCAGAAAAAAGUGGCCUCGUAUACUCACUCUGUACCUAGUUAUUUUGAAAGAGUCUGUUACUGUUGCUUCGUCCAGGCACACGGAGUCGCAUGACAGACGGUGCUGGGGACGGGCCGCAGCCCGGGCUCUGUGGGGAGGUCACUGCCCAGCACCGGACCCCUCGUGCCCCUGGCCAGCUACUCCGCUGAGCCCUCCAGGGUCUUGUUGCUGAUCUCGGGCCAGGACCUACCAGGUUACUUCCCCAUUAAGUUAAAAGACAAAGGACUUGAGCGCCACACUGACACCUGCAAUUUAAUGUUCUUCCUCUGGACACCAUGUUGUAAGGAUGGUGUGAGAUAAACACUGUUUGGGCCCAAAAAAGUUUUUGGUUUAGUAACUGUACAUAUUAAAAGCCCUCUGUGACCUUUAAUAUCUGCUUUUAUUACUAUUAUAGAUAAGUAUAAUUAUAUAUGUAUUACUUGUCAUUUCUUUCCCCAAUCUCACCCCAUCCGAUUCUUAGAGGUGGCCGUUCUUGACCAUUUUUCUUUUAGUUCUUUGGUGGGCACCUCUAAAUCAUCUAAAUAAUCAAUCUUAUACCUUUCUUGAUGUAUCAGAACUUGAAACAGAAUCUUAUCAGUUUCCUUCCAUGAAAGAUGAAGAGCUUGACUACCUUCUCUAUGUUGUUGCCCAUUUUAUUUUAAUCUGUAGUUUGUCUACUUUAACUAUACACGUAGCAUGCUCAGCCAUUUUUAUGUGAUUUACAGCAUUUACAUUCUGUUCUAAACUCUAGAAAAACUCCUCUGUGUUUUGCUCAUUGACUGAAAAAUCAGUUAAUGGUGUUUUACAACACUAUGGAUUUUGUAAACAUUUUAAACUGUAAAACCAGGUAAUCUGACUAAAACCAAUGAAAGAAAUGUAACGUUCCUCAUUCAAAUAUACAGGUGUAGGGCUUCUCUGGUGGCGCAGUGGUUGGGAGUCCGCCUGCCGAUGCAGGGGACACGGAUUCGUGCCCCUGGUCCGGGAAGAUCCCACAUGCCGCGGAGCGGCUGGGCCCGUGAGCCAUGGGCGCUGAGCCUGCGCGUCCAGAGCCUGUGCUCCGCAGCGGGAGAGGCCACAACAGUGAGAGGCCCGCGUUGCGCAAAAAAAAAAAAAAAAAAAAUGUACAGGUGUAGUGAUGCAGAAAUUACAAGUGAAAACUUCAAAAGGAUUUUCUUUUCAAAAAUGCCAUUAACUGCUCAAAAUCUAUGUAGUACUUCGUAUCAAGAAUGUACCACGAAUGACUCUGCUAUAGCUUUCUGUUCUUCUUUGAUAACAAGUUCUCUUCUUUGUUUUUUUGGUCUUUGUUAAAAGAGAAUGGGUUUUCAUCUUAUCCUUAAGAUCAUCCCGCUUCUUGAAAUGAUUAUGUCAUUUGAGAUUUGUUUCAAAACAACGCGGUCUGAGGGUAGGGCAAGUGGGGAUGAAAUGAAACAAACUGGUCCUGUGCUGAUGAUCUUGAAGGUGGGCGAUGAUGCACGGUGGCAUCUUACUCUGUCCUCUCUACUUCUGUGUGUUCAAAAAGUCCCACAAUAAAGUUGUGUUUUUUUCCCAAAUGAGCA